GGGACAUUCCUAUACUUGUUGGAAAGCUCAUGAAGUCUACUUUCCAAUGGGUCCAACCACAUAUCUAUGCAGCUUAUGAGUCGGGCGCAGUCCUUGUUUUCGUGCCGACACCUUUUUCUGUUUUGGUGCUGCGUCACCCUAUUUUGGACCAAUGGCCCAUGUAUCAAGUUGAGUCCUUUAGGGACGCGUUCUAGGGUUGGAGGACGACUCUAGCACCCCUUUGGUCGUCCUCCCCUCUAUUUAUUUACAUCUAGAGCCGCCAUGAACAACUGGGUUUUGUUUAGAUCAAGUUUAGCCUUCGCUACUUGCUUGUAGGCGUGCGUGCAGGAUCAGCCGCCGGUCUCCUUGUCUUCGGAACCCCAUUGUUGAUUCAGAUUCAGUUUGAAACCUUCAAUUCAUCUUGCAAAUUUCAGUGCUUGAUUCCUCGUUCUUGCUAGUUCUUCGAUUGCUUGCAGGACGGGAGCCCUAGGGGCUGGUUGUCGCGCUCCACAAGAUCGUGACGGCUGUUGGACGUGGUGUGUCGGUUGCUAAGGCGCGGUCUUGAGGGCUGUAGUCGGGCCGUGAACGUCAUCUCCAUCCACCAAUCGAGUUAUCCCCGUCUCUCAUCAAAAGAUCAGGCCAAAAACCCUAGCGGGUUCGCAUCAGUUGGUAUCAGAGCAAGGUUCUUCGGUGAGAGACUUCUAAUCCUUUGCUGUUUUUAAUUAAUUUCCUAUAGUCCAGAAAAGCCAAAAAAAAUAUAGUAGAAUUUGCGUUGCUUCUAGUACCGUUUUAGUUAGGGAUUGUUGAAUUUGCAUUGGUUCGGUUUGUGUCGAGUUGCUGGUCUUAGUGUCUAGUCCUUUAGAGUUUCGAGUUCUUGUCACCAUCUAUACACAGCUGAGUAUUACCAUAUCUUCUCUCUGUCGAAUCUGUUGUGAAGUCCGAAUUGAACUGUGAUCCAAAAAGAAAGAUAACUCCAUACUUGUUCAACCUUACUCUAGAGAGAGAGAGAGUGUGUGUGUGUGUAGCGAAUUGCUCUUUUGUAUUCCUUUGUUCAUAUAAUCAGUUUUUGAGGUUGCCCAAAAAAAGAAAAAAAAGAAAAAAAGAAAAGAGAAAAGAUUCAAAAGAAAAAAAAGGGGUUGUUUUUCAUAUUGAUUUUAGGUUUCUUCCACCUUGUUUUCGGGGGUGUGCUGUGGUUUUCCUUUGUGGCCAGGCUCGCGUCUCUAGCGCGGUCUAGCCUAGGACCAGCACAGUACCAUCGUCGAACGCUUAUUCAGCUCGCUUUUAUAACUAACGUGGUGCUAGUUCGUUCCUUGUUUCAGCCCACCUAUAGCUCCACAUACUCUACAGCUUGACAGGUCUUGUGCUGCAGCACCGAUACACUUCGUCCAUCGCUGUACACUUGUUGGCAGACGACCCCUCCUGUCAAGCAAGGUAAGAAUUGGUAAGAACUUGUGUUACAGGUUGAGUGUGAGCGACUUGCUGUAGCUACAUCCU
rnacentral:lncRNA from 1 species